GCGCACAGCUGGACCGAGAGAGCAACGCGGGGAAAGGCGGGGCGCGUCAGGACUUGCUAGGGCAGCGGACUGCGAGCGGGAGGGGCGGGGCGCUGAGACGGGGGCGGGGCCUCGCGCUCAGACUUAAAGGGCCAGGGCCACCUUGCGUGUGCCGCGGGAGCGCGAAAGGUGGAGAUGAGGGGGACGACCCACGCGAGGCCAUUCUUGGGAUCAUGAAGGCCGCGAGUUAAUUAUUUACUCAUAAUAAAUAAGUUAUAAAUAUAUUGAGACAGUCUGAAGGACGAUUCCCAAAACUGAGCUAAAUUUGAUGGAGGGAGCCAGCCACCUGUGGAGUGGAACCCAAAUCAAGUUGUUCCUUAGGCUCUGACUCUACCCUUAGGUGACCCAUUCCGUGUGGUCUUGCAGUGACAAACUUGGAGCAGAGUGACAGAGCCAGCUGCCUUUGUUAAAGCAUUGUGCUUCAGUUGUCCCUUCUUGUAAAAUGGUGAUAAUGUUGCUUGCUCUAGUUAUCUUUAUAGGGUAAAGAUAAAAUUAAAUCCUGUAUUAUUCUCUACUUAAAGAAGCGCUUUUAGGAAGUUCCCCUGUGGCUCAGCGGGUUAAGGAUCCCGAGCAGGCUGCAACUGCCGGUCAGGUUCGACCCCUGGCCCAGGAACUUCUACAUGCUGCGAUUGUGCCCAAGCGCUUUUAAAAGGGCUGUCACUCUGGGCAGUUCUAGCUUCUUCCUUCUCCCAAUCUCCUUCUCCCCGAAGCAUCCACCAGAGGACGCAGCUUCCCCCAAACUUUCCACUCUGCUUGGCUAGAGAAACUCAGUCCACGUUUUCCUGCUACUCCGGGCCCGCAGUUAAAUCACUGCAGCCCCAGACUAAGCUGUCCGUUACCAUGGGAACGGAAAGCCAUGACGUCACCAUUGUCUGGGUGAGUGCGUUGGAGUCCAUGCCUAUACAUUCCCAGGACUCCCUGCAGGACUUGAGAGUGGAGGAGAGAAAAGACUUCCUUUUCCCCCUACCUUCUCGCGCCCCCUCCUGCUAGGAAAGUGGACGGCUGCCCCCCGCACGUGUCCGAACUACCACGCCGGCGACCACGCGUGAGCACGCAGAAGGCCCAAACCUCCCACCAUACCCCUCAGAACUUUCCCCGAACUCCUCCUUGCCUCUAUCCCCAAGGAAGUCAAGUCAGUCAAAUAACGAGGCUCAGCCUGUCCCAAACCCGCCGGGGCCCCUCAGAUCACACCCGCACGCUAGAAUCCUGCUCCUGGGCCGCGGUUUCCCUCGGACCCCGCCCCGCUCCUCGGGCCCCGCCCCCCGGCAGCGCGGGCGGGAGGCGGGGCCGGGGGCGCGGCCGCCGG
rnacentral:lncRNA from 1 species